UACAGAGGUCUCAAGCGUUGUUCGGAUUAUUGGGCGUAAAGCGUGCGUAGGCGGCGGGGUAAGUGAGGUGUGAAAUCCCGGAGCUUAACUCCGGAACUGCACUUUAUACUGCCUUGCUCGAGGGCUGGAGAGGAGACUGGAAUUUACGGUGUAGCAGUGAAAUGCGUAGAGAUCGUAAGGAAGACCAGUGGCGAAAGGCGAGUCUCUGGA
rnacentral:rRNA from 1 species